GUGAGUAACGCGUAAGUAAUCUACCCUGGCAUCUGGGAUAACCCACCGAAAGGUGUGCUAAUACCGGAUACGUUGAUUUAUCAAGAAAGGUGGCCUCUUCAUGAAAGCUACCGUAUAGGGAUGAGCCUGCGUACCAUUAGCUAGUAGGCGGGGUAACGGCCCACCUAGGCAACGAUGGUUAGCGGGUCUGAGAGGAUGAUCCGCCACACUGGGACUGGAACACGGACCAGACUCCUACGGGAGGCAGCAGUGAGGAAUAUUGCGCAAUGGGGGAAACCCUGACGCAGCGACGCCGCGUGAGUGAGGAAGGUUUUCGGAUCGUAA
rnacentral:rRNA from 1 species